GCCUUGCAUAAUACCACUUAAUAGUGGCUCUGUGAAUAAAAAAGUAAACCCCUACAGAGGUCUGUCAAGCAAUCAAUUUUCGUCAGCACAGCCCGCCCCCUCAAAGAGUUCCUGGUAGCUGUGGGAAGACCCUAUCCACCAGGCGGAAUGAAAUAAUCCAGGGGGAACCUUCAGUACCCUGGUACUUUUUUUCAGUUGGGACACAGGGAACUCAAGCUGCCAGGGAAGCUAGGGAAGUUCCUGCAAAGUCCUGCGGGGGGAAGGCCCCUAAGUAUACGUAGUUGAAAUUUGGGAGAAAUUAGACAAAAUCUUCAGCAAAUCUGUUUAUGAAAGACCCUAAGUGGCCACUUCAAACCAAAAUAGAAAACUUGCCUUUUUGGCAUUGGUUCUUUUUUGUUGUUGUUGGUCUACUCGUGAUAGUCAUGCUUACCAAAUUUCAUGUUGCUAUGUGACACUUUGGGGCUGAAUUUUCAGAGAUUCAGGGAAAGUCCUCAAAAUGGUGAUUUAUUUGGUCUAAGAAUUAUAACGACAAAGAAAUGAAGCAGCACAUGUUCGGGCCCUAAUUGCAGUGUGGUCUCUGUGGUAUCAAGUACACCAGAACAAAUACUGUUGACUCAAAUGAGUUCCUGAGCUGGAAAAUUGCUCCAGUCAAUAAUUUAUGUUAGCGUUUGUUGGCAAGUGUCCAGUCGUGUGUGCUGUACUGCGCUUUACCUCCUUGUCACUGUCACUAUAUUUCUCUGUCUCUGGAUGUUCCUCGACGGGGGACGAUCCCUGAGGGCGUGGUCUCUCGCCCUCUGUGAAAUGAGAUGGCUCGUCACAUGCCUGCAGACGAAACAGCAGUUUGUCACAGGCUUGUUACUUUUUCAACCUCCUUGGAUGACAACACGUCGAAAAAAGAUGUAACUAGAGAGAGGUGAAUCGCCGCGCUUUUGAGCGUCCUGAGGCCACCACGGUAGCGCGUCUGUGCAGCAGCAGCAGGAUGGCCGGCUCGCCAGAAGAGAUGAUGACAUCUCUGCAGACGACACACCCAGCGCUCACUGCAGCAGCGAACCAGACUGUGAUGGAAGAACACAGGACCAAUUCGAUGACCGCUGUGUAGAACUGCCAACUCAACAGCUCCCGUGGCAGGCCGUGCUUCCUCAGAAGGCGCAGGAACUACAUCCUCUGCUGGGCCUUUUUGAGGAUGGAGUUGAUGUUGAUCUCCCACUUCAGGUCCUGACAGACUGUAAUUCCCAGGAACUUGAAGGUCUCCAUCACCACUUGGAUAGGCAUCCUCUUUAGCCUAGCGUAGUUGUUGAAGUUUGGCAGUGAACCAUGGGUUGUUGUUAUUGAACAUGCGAAAAGUCUUUGUUGGUACGCACACACCUUCACAGAAACUGAUGUAGGAUGUGACACAGUCCGUAUAUUCAUCCAGGCUUCCAGUUGAAGUUUCAAAGACACUCCAGUCUGUGCAGUUUAAACAGCCUUGAAGUUCCAUCUUUGCUUCAUUGGUCCACUUCCUCACUGUUUUCACCGCAGGCUUCGCACAUUUAAGUUUGUGCCUGUAUGUUGGUUUUAAGUGAAUUGAACAGUGAUCAGACGAGCCCAGAGCUGUGCGGGGGAUAGAACGUCAUUUAGCCUGGUGUAGCUGUGUUCUAGAAUGUUCUUCUCCCUGGUGCGACAGUCGAUGUGCUGCUUGUAUUCAGGGAGUUGGUGGUUGAGUUUAGCUUUGUUAAAGUCCCCGAGAAUAAUGAGGGGUGAGUCCAGGUGUGCGGCAUUCAUAUUAGCCUGGGGGGGGGGGGAUGUAAACACCGGCGAGGAUAAAUGGAGCCAACUGACGCGUACAUGACGUACAGUUCAAAAACAGCGACUCCAAGUCCGGGCUGCAGUGUGUGUGGAGCUCCGUGACGUCAGUACACCAUUUUUCGUUGAUAUAGAAGCAUAUUCCGCCGCCUUUUGUUUUGCCAUCACAUGAUUUUGUUGAGCGAGUCAAAACAACAUGCAGGAGGAGCACGUGAAAAGUGAAUGGGACCGGUCAUAAAAUGGCAUCCCUAAUCCAUUUCUACGUGAAGAGUGCGUUUGCAUGUUCAGGUCACAUUCCAGACCUGGAUCUAACUCUCCACACUGUCUGUGGGGAGCCUUGUCAGUCACUUAAAGGAUAAUCAGAUCAAGAAACCUAUUUUCUCAUCUUUCUCCCGACACGUUCCCACAAGAGAAUUCCAAAGCCGAGGCUUUCAAACGCGUCUCGGGAGGUGGAAGCGACACUCUUUGUGUGCAUCUGCUGUCCUGGAACGCAGUUUUGUAGUCCAAUCAUCCCUGUGUAAUCCACAUUUGGACUUUGGUCGGACUAAAUGGCCACCUUGGCCUGUUUCUGCCCCAGUAUUUCAAAGCAUUUAAUCUGCAUCAGAUUGGUAUGGAUAGGAUUCAAUCUCAAAAUUUCAAACCAGGAUAUGUCAUUUUGAUCCUCGUAAAAUUGAGAUCUGGAUCUGGUAAACCACCCAGAAUCCUGAUCAAAUCCUGUUCUUGGGUAUUUCAUAAUUUCAAGGUGGAGAUCUUAUUUAAUUAGGUUUGAUGCUAAAUAUCACGAUUAUCCACAUCCCACUGGAAGGCUGUUUCAUUUGAAUUUCUUACAUUUUUAAUAUAUUAAUAAUAAUUAAGAUUACAUAAACAUAAGCCUACCUUCACAACCAAUUGCCACUUAUAAAAUUGAGCUCAAAAUUUGUUCACCAAAUAUUAUAAUUAAGGUAACCUUCAACAUCCCCAUCCUUACAGGCUUACAAUAAUAUUAAAUACACUUUUUUAUGAAAACUUAGACCUACUACCCUACCGUAUUUAAACAUCGGUACUUGGUGCACUUUAAUUCAAGAUACACUGAAGUGCAUUUUGUCUAAAAGAAUUGACUAUGAACAUAAUAUCAUGUUGAACACAACUUGAAGAACAGCAGUAUAAAAAUGUAAGAGGUAAAAAUACAAGUGGGAUGAAUGGAGGUAAUCGGCCAAUCCAAAAACCUCAAAUCUGGAUUUUGUAAUCCUGCUCUUGUUGAUCCUAUCCGAAAGUUCUUUGGAAAACCAAGACAAAAGCUACAAGUUCAGUUUGAUCGGGAAUAGCAGAAAAUAGAUUAUGCAAUCCGUAUCACUCUGAUCCAGAUUACUUGUAAAAAAUA